rnacentral:rRNA from 1 species
AUGGAGGUGGUCAAAAAGGCUUGGAUUGAGCCGCUCGAGCAUGUUGAGCCAUAUCAAGUCCUGUUCCAUAAGCUCAAGAAGGUGGCUCUCUGCCUUUCCGAAUGGAGUAGGGGCCUUUUCUCCAAGGCAAAGGUUCACCUACACGCUGCACUAUUCGUGAUCCUACGCCUCGACAUCGCUCAAGAGACCCGACAACUCUCCCCCGAGGAGAGUGACCUUAGGGCGAGGCUUAAAAGGAGGGUCAUUAGCUUGGCCGUGCUUGAGAGAGCUCGCAAAAAGCAAAGUGCGAGAAUUGCUAACCUCAAGGAGGGUGAUGCCAACACCAAGUUCUUCCAUCGCCGGAUUAAUGCUAGAAGGAGGAAAAAUCACAUUCAUAGGCUAAAACAUGACCAAGGGUGGAUCACCGAGCAUGACGCUAAGGAGAAGCUCAUUCUGGACCACUUUUCUGAAGUGAUGAAAAAAGGAAACACGUGCAAUAAGGAUCUAAACUGGGAGGAGCUCAACUUAGAGGUACAUGACUUGCACGGCCUCGACUCACCCAUCACCGUUGAGGAGGUACAUGAGGCAAUCAAUGACAUGCCAAGUGACAAGGCGCCCGGCCCAGACAGCUUCACUGGAGCUUUUUUAAGAAGUGUUGGGACGUCAUUAAGUUGA